UAGAGCAUGAGACUCUUAAUCUCAGGGUCGU
rnacentral:piRNA from 5 species